CAGUAAUAAUCAUGAAAUACAGCUAGUAAUAGUAAUAGCAUAGAAGAAGCACAGUGAAAAAGAUUUAUUAUUGAGCUUUGUACGUGUAUUCAUGCUAAUAAAAUGUAAUUUUAAAAGCAAGAUGCAAACUAAAAUACCUACUGCAGUAUAAUAAAAGAAAAAAGGUAAUGAAAUAGUACUCUUUAUUACAUUACUGUGCUUUUUGGAAAAAAGGAAAAUAAAUUAGUACUUGCAUAUAGGUCUGUCACCAGUGAUGAGUAAUAAAUUUCAGUAUUUGUUUUCAGUUGUAACUUUCGUAAACUUGUAAGUAAUUUUGUCAAAAAUUAAUAUUUGCAUAUUCAUGUUCAACAGGCAGUAUAAGAUAGGUCCAUCUAUCUUUGCUCGUGGUUGACCAAACAACAGUUUUUACUAAUUUUAAUUUAAAAUUUUUAUUUCAUAUGAAGUAAUAUGUAAAAUAAAGAUAAAUUGAGCAAAGAUUCCCAAAACUCCCAUUUCACAAUAAAUUCAAACAAUUGCAAUACUAUCCAUGUCUGUGUCUUAGGUAUUAAUUCCAGGAGCUUUCCAACUUGACACAGUUGAAAAUUCUCUAGUAAAAUAGAAAUGUCAUCAAACAUCUUAAUCAUUUUUCGUUAAAUCUCCCAAAGUUCUUGUUUUACAGAAAUCAGAGGAAAUGUCUGAAUAAUAGCAAACAUUAACGCUAUUUGACCCAUUCAUUGCUUUAUAUCAGGCAUCCUGUUCUUGGUGGUCAGGAUCAAGCCAUUCAAACACGGACCUUUGGAUUUCUCGUUCUAGGUAAGGAGUUGGUAGCACUACAGAGCUGGGCACACAACGUGGGCGUGAAUGGUUCCCAACUGUUGAGGACGUCCUGGAAGUGAGCUGCGUGGCUGAGUCUGCAUACUGCGUGCCUGAGCGAGCGGGAGUUCUGCAAUUAGCUUUCAUGUAGAAUGCGAGCUCUAACGGGAUCCUAGUGCUCAUGCAAUCACUGUCUCUCAGCAAAAUCGACUCAGCCCAGGAGACCUGCAGCCAAGAGCUCCAUCAUUGGACACCAUCCCUCUUUCGGAAGCCUCAGCACGUACCGCCACUGUGACAAGAAACUCGUCACUGGACUUGGGGUCCUCCUAACGGGCUUCUCUCCUUCCACUCAUGGCAGCCAGAGGAAACUGUUAAAAUGCAAAUAAGAUCUGGAAGCAGCCCAAGCGCCCCUCAGGAGGUGAGUGGAUAGAAAAGCGGUGGUGCAUGUACACAGUGGAAUCCGAUGCAGAGGUAAAAAGGAAGGAUCUCUGACCCGGCUGCAAUAGCGGGAUGUGCUCUAGGCAGUUAGGCCGACAGGAGCCGAGCAAAGACGCUGGGCCCGGUACAGCAGGUCACCAGGAUGGAACGCCCAGGUGCCUCGCCACGGACAGUCACUUGUACGGUGGGACCUUGGCUCCAGGGUGACUUUUCCUCCCCUAGCCCUUCGCUGCUCAUGCAGUUUGGAACCCUUGACCUUUCCUCCCUAGAGAUAACAUCUAUCCCUCGGUUGUAUUUCAGCUCCAGGCCCAGGUAAGCAAUAAACCCAGCCCUGGCUGACCCCAGGACCAGCUGCAUUGCAUGAUGACCCCCUGCGCUGGUGUCGGCCAAUCCAUCAGUGGAGACCACAGCCCUGAAAGGACACACCUGGAAAACUGCUGAAUAUUAAGAUCUUUCCCCUCAGGUCUCCCCUAAAAUCUCUACCCUGAAAACCCUCAGGAUGGAAGACCCAGAGGACCCAGGAUCCUGAAGCACCCACAGGUGUUACCUUUAGUUUCCUCACCCCCAUGCUCCACGGGCCCUUCCUUUACCUCUAUGACUUGUUUUCUAAGCCCAUUUCUUCUAGGACAGUGGUUCUCAACCUUGGCUGCACAUUAGAAUCA